UGCCCGUUUUGUCUUGCAAAGAAAAGACAGAGAGGGGAACAAGGAGGAGGGAGGUGGAGAGACUGAUGCUGUGGCACGGGGAAGUGAAUAGGGGUCGGUGGCUCUUGUGUUGGAAGACAAAGCAGACAAAGCUGUGCCCCAUGGAAUUACCGAGUGGCAGAUGCAGAUCGGCCACAUUUCCCGCAGCGUGUAAUUAAGCUGAGGAGCUCAUUGCCCAAAUGAAUCCCCAGAUCCGGGGGGCACGGAGUGCUGGGGGCCCUGUGUUGUCCCCAGGUCCCUGCUGCCUGCUCCUGCUGUGCAUUCGGUGCCACAACACCGCGGUGGCUGCUCCGCAGAGUUAGGGGACGCGUCCCAGCCAUGUUCCAGCACUGCUCAGCCUGGCUCCAGCCUCCAGCACGGAGCCUUGGGGUUCGCCUCUCCUCACCAUCAGUGACCCCGGGCUGCAUUUUGGGCAGCACAGGAGCCCAGCGGGAUAGAGCAGAACCCACGUGCAGGUGCCCCUCUGCCCAAGGGACAGGGACAGCGGCUGAGCCAAUCCUGAGGUGAGGGGAGCAAGUAGGUGCCCUGCUUUGCUUUGUGCACCUUGCUGAAAUGCGUGAGCCCAAAGGGAAAGAAACAGCAGAAAUCCAAGCAAAUAAGGAAGAGAUCCAAGCAAAUACGAGGCCCAUCACAGUCAGUGGAGGUCCCUCUGCAGGCUGAACACAGGGAGGGCUCCAUCCCCACCUAUUUCUGCUCCAAGCAUGCCAGCGCGACUCAGCUGCCUUUCCUGAUUGAAAUCUAACACCUUUUAUACGGUUCACGUCUCAUAACUCGGGGGGGGGGGGUUUAAAGAAAAAUUAAUUCCUUGGACUUUGGCACCAGCGGGCAGCGGUCGGGGCAGAAGCUGUUCUCCUGCCUUGCAGAGCCACGCUCCCCCCCAGCAUCUCCCGUCAGCAUCUUCCUUCAGCCCAUUUGUUUUAGGGGAACACAAAAGCUCUGCUUUCUGCCCGUUUUCCCCCCCGUGCCGCCCGGUGCCCCCACACAGCCCCAGUGCCCACGGCCUCCCGCUGCCAUCUGCAUGACAAAGCCCACUGCUCCGCGCCUUUUGGGGAUUGCCCGCACCACAAACCUUAUGGGCUUCAUCAAUAGCUCGGAUGAUUUUAGGGUCUAGGUUUUUAUUCACUACAGCGUUGGCUGACAAAGCCCAUUACAUCAUCUGUUUGGAAGAGAAAUUCUCUGCAGCUGCUUGUGUGGCACAGGGGGGUUUGCUGGAAAAAAUAAGGCAGAUUUUUUUUUUCCGUUUGGUUUUGUUUCAUUCUUUCAGGGCAAUUUUCCUUCAAAUUGCUGGAAAACUGCACGUUAAAAAGGCUUCCAAAGUGGAAAGGAAAAGGGCAGAGCGCAGCAGCUUUAAGCAUUCUUUUUUUUUUUUGCUUUUUUUCAUUUCCCUUCCAAAAAGCCGGGGGGAGGGCAGCCCCCGCUCAGGGCCGUGUGUGGGGCUGGGGUGUGGGGACAGCGGGGUGCCCCGUCCUGUCCCAUUGCUGCUGGGAAGUCCUCCUGGCUCAGCACCGGUGUGAGCAGAGGAAUCCCUCCUGAGCUCAAAAGAGGCUGAAGUUGUAGCUUGGGUUGCUGUUGGAAUGGCUGCUAAGCUCGAAAGAAAGGUUUAUAAUUCAUAGGGUAACACAGCGCACGGCGCUAUGGAAAACAGCUCUUCACUCACUGCAAUUAAGAGUGAGAAAACCCCAUAACUGCAGAUAAAAAUCCGUUAUUAUAGAUGAGUGUGACAGACCACUGCGUUUCCCCAUCAGGUGAGCAGCACGGAUGGGCCGAGCCUCGUUAGCACAGGGCUUUCACAAGUGGGUUCUGAGACAUUUAAACUGUAUCCAGGAAAAGAUGGGUCCUAAAUGCACCGCAGGUGUCACUGCCGAAUGUGUCCUUGGGGGUAAUCCGGAUGUGCUGAGGAGCACGGAGGCGCAGCGCUGACACAGCACGGUGGGGGUGGGCUGGAGGUCCCAACCUGAAUGAGUGGAUGGCUGAGCGAUGGGAAUGCUGCCGGGUUGUGGCAGCCUCGGCAAUGGGGAGAAGGUGUGGGGGACGGGGGGUGAUCCGGGUCUGGGAGUUUCUUUUAGCAGCAGAGAUUGGCUCACGUUCAGUUCAUGUUUUAUCUCGGAUAGGAAUUGAUUUUUUUUUAAUAGGUCGAGAGUUCAGGAAAGCUAAAAUAAUAAUAAUAAUAAUAAUAAUAAUAUAAACCAGGAUCUGUCUUUUUCUGCUCCCUGAAUACAUAGGGCUGCUUUCCGGCACACAUUUCAUUUUCAGGUGAGUUCCUUUGUUGCCAUAGCAAUAUUACUCGUGUUUGGAAAGCCGCAGCUUUGGUUUUCUCCCAGGCCAUGCUGUCACACGCAGGCAGCACCCCGAGCCCAGCACAGAGCCGCACUGAGCUGCGCCGCAGCACGGAGGCAGAGGGGAGGGCCAUGGGGGAGCGCAGGGCUCCCACCCAAAGAUGCUCCUCUCUUCUCACCCUUCCACCCACACCUCACAGCGCGGCUUUGCAGUCAGGUCAAAGGAAACCCGGUGGCUUUGCUAAUUAGCACUUAUUAACGACGCUUCUCUGGCUGUGCCCGCAGCUCUCCCUCCAGGCACUGGCGCACGUGCAGCAACAAAACCCGUGUGCGCCCCAGAGAGCUCAGAAUCCCGUAAAUCCCAUUUGCUGCCACACAGGUGUCUCAUUUCCUCGCUCCGCAGAUCCCGGGCCCAGUGAAUUUAUUUUAUUACUCUGCUGAAGUAAAGGCUUUAAAUACUGCGGGACGUGCAUGACGGGGGUCUGUAACAGCAUUAAGAAAGGCACGAGGAAAAGGGAUUCCCCCGUAAGGGAACGGUUCUGUGGUCAUUUGGGUAAUAUGUAUUCUGUACAUGUGCCAGGAAUUAAGAUUUGAUUUUAAGUAUUUAUAUAUUAAAUAUUUAAUCUAGUCACAUCUAGUCGUUUGAUCCGGGCAGGUGGGAUCGCUGGGCUGACAUUGACGGGAUGAGCUUCAACAUGACCAAGCGCCGGGUCCUGCAGUUAGGCCGAGCAGCUGGAAGGCUGUGUGGGAGAAAUGGACCUGGAGGUGCCGGUCAGAGCUCAGCUGAACAUCAGUCAGCAGUGUGUCCAGGUGGCCAAGAAGGCCAAUGGCAUCCUGGCUUGUAUCAGAAAUGGUGCAGCCAGCAGGAGCAGGGAAGUAAUCAUCCCGUUGUGCUCAGGACUGCUGAGGUGGCACCUUGAGUGCUGUGUUCAGUUUUGGGUCCCUCACUACAAGAAAGACAUCGACGCGCUGGAGUGUGUCCAGAGAAGGGCAGUGGAACUGUGAACGGUGUGGAGCACAGAUCUUAUGGGAACUGAAGGAACUGGGAUUGUUCUGUGUGGAGGAGGCUCAGGGGAGACCUUACUGAUCACUACAGCUGCCUGACAGGAGGUUGUGGAGGGUGCAGGUUGGCCCCUUCUCCCCAGUAGCAGUGACAGCACAAUAGGUACCAGCCUUAAGUUGCACCAGGGGAGGUUCAGGUGGGAAAUUAGGACAAAUUUCUUCACCAAAAGAGUGGUGAGGCACUGCAAUGGGCUGCCCAGGGGUGGGGUGGAGUCACCAUCCCUGGAGGUGUUCAAGAACCAUUUAGAUGUUGUACUCAGGGACAUGGUUUAGUGGGGAAAUACGUGGUCAGUGGACAGUUGGACUAGAUGAUCUUGGAGGUCUUUUCCAACCUUGGUGAUUCUAUGAUUCACGCCAUUAAGUUAUUAAAAUACUUAAUGUUAAAUUCAAUUUUUUUCUGUACUUCUUUUAAUUAAAGCAGGCACAGAGGGCCACGCAUUAACCUAAAACCCACUCCGUGAUGCCACAUCAUAGCUAUGGCUGCGUGCUGGGAGGCUGUUCUGCUGCACCACCAUAAGCUGUUCACGUAGAUCACGUUUAAAGGCUGUUUUUGCUUGCUUUGUUUGUUUGUUUGCUUUUGUUUUUUAAUUCUGAAUAAGCCCCGUUCGGAUUAACAAGCAGAGGCUGCGUGCACACAGCAGACCCGUGGGUGCUGCAAGCCUUGCUGCGAUGCAGGCAGCAGAUGACAGCUGCAGGGCUGUGCGGCUACAGGGCUGCGGGGAUGAUGCAGGCAGAGCAGCGGGCAGCAGUGCUGGGGGCACACAGCCCUGUGACGUUGCCUUUCUGUGGGGGAAUGCCACCGGCGCAGUCAUUCCGGCAGCAUUAGGGCUGUGGUGGCUCCCAGGAUUACCCACGCACAGCCCUCCCAUCGCCGGCAGAAUCGCUGUGCCCAAACACAAUAGGAGCCUGGAAGAAAGCAACGGCCUCGACAAUGAGUUUCUCUGCUUUUAUAGGUUUUAGUGGAGCCCAUUGUGCUGUUUUAACACCCUUUUUUGUAUUUCGAUUCCUAAUAUCUUUGACUGGGGGAAGGGUGGAGAGGGCACCGAUUUAAUUCGAUAAUCCCCCUAAGCCUUGCUUAAUGCACUCACUCUAUUUUGUGCCUGUGAAUUUUAUAGUGGUAUUUGGGGUGGUUGCAGCACUGCACUGGAAUACGUCCCACCAUUUAUUUUUGCAGCCAUUGGAGGGAAAUGGCUCGCAGUGCUGAGCAGCCUAUUCACUGCGCUCACAUUGUCAAACCCAACAAACCGUCAGCCCAGAUGUGGUCGGAUCCCGGGGCUGCAGCAGGGAUGUGGGGAAAGGAGUUCAGAGUCCGCUGAAAAUUGCUCAAAUGAAUAUCUAACCAUGAGCAGAAGGCUUCCUCCCUCUGCCAAAAUUCUGAGCUGGAUUUGGGCUGUGAGGACAGCUCAUGGCUCCUUCUGAAGGGUCCCAAGACAGACAAGUCUUUGGGCUCCCAAAACUUCAUGGCUGUGCCAUGAGCAAUUUGCUCCUAGCAGGAACAUGAGGUGGUGCUGAGCCAUCCUGGGAGCAUCUCAGAAGGCUACAGCAGAGACAAAAAGUGCCAACGUAAGGGUCAGAAUGUCUGGGGCAGCUGGCAUGCAGCAGCAACAAAGCUAAGAUGAGAAGAAGGGGUUUGGAAGAGGUCAGGAUCAGAAAGACGGUGUCUGUAGGGAACCGGGUCAUCCAAAGAGGAGAAAAGAACAAAGGAAGAAAAAAUAUUAAGAGGCUGAGAUCUACCACACUGACAGGAGAUCUACACACUGACAGAGAAGACAGGAAGGUGUCCACAGACAUCUCAGAGAGAGGAGGAGACCUCAGCAGGAACACGGCAGGGCUCCUGUAGUUUAGCAAACUGCCCAAGAAUGUGCAGAAUAAGAAGCUUUUUUCACCUAUAGCCUGUGCAACUGCCUUCCUCAUUUCUUACAGCCCAGCAGUAAGGAUGUAAUGCCUCAUGAAAAUAAAUAUGGAUGGCUGGAAUUGUGUCUGUAAGGCUCCCAUUUGCCUUUCACAGCCUCAGCCCACAUCUUUCAGCCUUCCAUGCAAUUUCUCAUCAAACACCAGGACAGUACUCAGCCGCACAGAGCUCAUGGAUCUCAUAAACUCUACAGAAAAGCUUUCUUUAUUGGCAUAAAAGACACAACAGGGUAAGUAUUUGGAGGUGUUGAAAAACACUUCACCAGACAUUAAAUAAUAUUAUUUAUUCUAUCAAGAAAAGCUCUAAGGGACAUCCCAAAAAUGUGAGCCGUCUUCCAAUGGAGAUAAGAAAGAGAACACACGUACCAGCAAGCUGUUUCUAAAGCUCUGAUCAGUUGAGGCAAGAAAAAAAAGAAGUUGAUGGUGGGAGAUUGUGCAAAUUGAACUCCUGAGGAUAUUAAAAAAAAAAGAGUAUUUCCAAAGAUAAGAAGCUGGAAGGCUAUAAAAGAAUGUAUCCAUCCACUAAAUGAUGGGAGUUCAAGAGCUAAAUGAAACAGUUGCCCAGGGAGGUGGUGGAGUCACCAUCCACGGAGGUGUUCUACAACUGUAGGGAUGUAGCACUGAGGGAAAUGGUUAUGGGCAUGGUGGAGGUGGGAUGGGGUUGGUUGGACUCGGGGAUCUUAGUGGUCCUUUCCAACCUUAAUGGUUCUAUGAUUCUACAAUUCGAUGUGGAUCACUGUUUCCUACAGAGGAAUGGAUGGAGGUUUCCAAAUCAAAGCCCUUCUUCAAGAGGGAUGAGAUUGAGAAAUUUUCUCACAAUGAAGAUCAGCAGAGAAGACUUUAAGCUGAAUAAAUAAAAUUAAUGGCAACCAAAUUCCAGUAUGGGAUGGCAUUGACCAAAAGUCCUAGAGAAGGGCUCAGGCAUGAAUUACCCGAUUGCCUGACUGGUUUCAAGCUCAUUGGCCAGAGCAGGCCUGAUACUGAAGGAAUGGAACAAAAAAAUGGAACUAAACAAAGAUAAUGCAAAAUAAUGGCAAUGGAAGCUACAGAUAAGUAGAAAUGGGCUCUGAGCUAUGACAAUUUAAUGAGGAGAUGCUGGCUUCAUUAUGCUGAUCGCUCUGUAGUGCCUCACACGAUGCUCAGAGAUAGUCAAAGGCAAACAGGAGGGAAUGGGGAACAAAUAAAAACAAGUGUUGUGAUGCCAGUGGACAAUCAGCAGUUUCAGUCCUCCCAUCUCAAAAUGGGCACAGCAGUGUGAGAAAAGGUGGAGGACAACAGAAGGGAGUUGGGCUUGGAGCUGCCCUGUGUGUGAGUAGGGUUGGGCUUUGCUGUUUGGAGGGGACACCCAAAAGGGGAUGUGGUGCAGGCCCCCAACCAGCAGCUUUAGAAACUCUUACUGCUGUGGGCAAACUUAUUCAAGGCAGUUUUCUAAUUCAUCACCUUGUGUGCUAAUUUAUAUUUAAUUUUUAUUUCUAUAAAACUGUACUCAAAGGGUGUUAAUGAGCUUAUUAAUAAUGUUUACACGUUAUGGAUAUUGAUAAAUAUAUUCAGAAAAUUAAUGGAUAUUUUUAAUUAAAUAAAACCAGCACUUUAAAAAACUCUUAGCAACUUGGUGGGGUCCCUCACAAAAAUACGCAUUACUUCUGUAAAACCAAAUUAAAAUGCAAUAAUUCUGACAACCUAGAAGAGAAAGGAUAGAGGGGUCUAAGCGACACGCUUGGUGGAUGGAGUGACAGCAGCAUUUGCAUUCCCAGCUCUGCGGGGACAGACAUGAUGAAUUCUGAGCCACGCAGGCAGACACAGUGUGCCCAGACUGACUGCAAAGCUAUGGGCACCCCAGCAGGAAAAGCUGAAGAUGCAGGAUCAGGCCCUGCAAAUUAAACAGACAAACAAACAAAAACCCACAGUCCAUAACAGGGUUCAGCAAGAUGUGAAGUUGUUGAAUUAUCUCAGCCGGGCAACGUCAGGUAGCAUUUCUGAGGAGAGCCCUUUGUGCACAUCGUCCCCGGAGCGAGCAGAGCAGGAGCCAUUUGCAUGAGCACUGCGCUGAGCAGCUGCAGAACGCUGGGCGCAGAGGGCUCGCACCAACCCACGCUCCUGGUGAGGCAGGAUCCCAUCCGGAGCUACAGAUGUGGGCACUGCCACUGCAACAGCACCAAUGAGGAGAGCUGCCUCGUCACUUGCAGCUAUAGACAGGUGGCAUCUUGUGUGCUAGCAAAUGGAUCUGCAGCUUCACCAGAGGAAGAGACACCACAUUUACAUGACACGGAACAAAUCUCUGAACUCAGACGAACUAUUUUAAGAUGGAAUUUAGAAACAAAGGAGAGUGUUGCCCUGACCGUUUCCCAACAGCCUUUCCUGUGGGAUAGAGCUACACGGAACUCUCGGUUAUGGAGCACCACCCAGAGGGCAGAGCGGAGGGAUGCAGAAGUGAGAUGAUCGGGUUCUCACUUGGAGUAAGAUGCACAUACAGAGAUGCUAUGCUGCAGAACAAGGGUGCUUAUUAGCACCAAGCAAUAUCAGUAAGAGGGCAGAAAGGCAGAACUGAGUCUGUGAAAGUAUGAAAAAUGCACAUGCAUGCAGGAAAUCAAAAUCUCCUGGACCAGCUUCACCUAUGACCCAUAUGUGGAACCUCAACAAGAUCUCUUCCACCAUGAUAUUUGUCACAAUUUCCCCCCCUACAUGUUCAGCACUCGUUACCCACCCUUUCAGGCCUUCUACAGAUCUGAACGCUUUGUGAUGAUCUGCGCUCUGUCUGGGAAGGGCACAUGAGGGAGAGGGAGGUGAUCCUGCAGCAUUUGACAAGUUUGGCCACAGCAGAAUGAGAUUGAUUUUAUUCUAUGGGACAAUGUGUAGAUUAAAGUUUCAUCUAAAGAUUUCCACUCAAAAUGCUUCAAAGGCAUUCCUUUAUUAUUAUUACUAUUACUACUACUAUUACUAUUAUUUAAAAAGAGCAAGCAUGGAAAGAAACUCUCAGUGUAGCUUCUUCCUCAAAGCAUCUCUGCUUCUGAGUACAUCUGUUGUUCACCAGCAAAGACUGUUGCAUCACUACGUUCCUCUCCAGCACUAAGUGCCACUGCUGCUGUUGGCAUUUAUAUAACAGAAUUCUGCUUUGGAGAAACAUGAAUAAGCACUAGCAUCAAAUCUGGCUUUCACUAGGAGAUUUACUACUGCUGUCCAGCGUGAUACUUCUUGGAUGCAGAGGAUCCAGAAAGAGAUGAGUCAUGGAGCUGCAGAUCUGUGUGCAGCUGCAGUGUGCUGUGACACGGAGCUCCCAGGGAAUGAAAGGUGCACCUGAAGAUGGGCGUUACUCACCAGGAAGAUGAUUCCUUAAGGGGAGAGCUCAAGAGAAGCAGGAAGAGCUAUUGAUCGCAAUGUUUUGAGCAACCCUAGGGGAUCAUAGAGCAACUGAGAGAAUGUUAACGAUAUGAAGCUGUGGAGCCACAGGAUCAGCAACACAGGAAGAAGGCUGGGGGUCACUGCAGAGAUGGAAAUCCCAGCCCUAAUUGCUCUGAAGGAGCCUGGCGAAGGGAAGCUAUCCAAUGGCUGCUCUGGGCACAACUAAUGAGCUG
ensembl:lncRNA